UACGAAGGGGGCUAGCGUUGCUCGGAAUUACUGGGCGUAAAGCGCACGUAGGCGGCUUUCUAAGUCGGGGGUGAAAUCCUGGAGCUCAACUCCAGAACUGCCUUCGAUACUGGAGAGCUUGAGUCCGGGAGAGGUGAGUGGAACUGCGAGUGUAGAGGUGAAAUUCGUAGAUAUUCGCAAGAACACCAGUGGCGAAGGCGGCUCACUGGCCCGGUACUGACGCUGAUGCACGAAAGCUAGGGGAGCAAACAGG
rnacentral:rRNA from 1 species